GAUGAGUUCUCCCUGAGACUUAGAGUCUCCUGAAGGAACGUUGAAGACGACGACGUUGAUAGGCCGGGUGUGUAAGCGCAGCGAUGCGUUGAGCUAACCGGUACUAAUGAACCGUGAGGCUUAACCUU
rnacentral:rRNA from 1 species